UGUAAAAUCCGAUAGGUCAUUGACCUUCA
rnacentral:sRNA from 1 species